CUCUACCUCCAAACUCUACAAAGCCUUUUGUUUCUACACAGUGAAUUGCAUACACGGUGUUGGGAAUUAUUGGUCAAAAAUAAGUUUGUGGCAGAAAAACCAGAGUUGGCCUAUUUGUCUUCAGAAGAAGCAGAGGAGAGGUGGUAGAUGUGUUCCUGGGUACAUUGGCCAAGGGCAUCAAGAAGCAAAGAAGGCAGUGUCACUAGAGUCUGCCAGAGCAGCAUCAUGACUUGUCCUCAUCAGCUGACAGCCAUCUGAGUCUUAGGGGCCCUGAUAAUGGUGCUCUCGAUGAGAAGGAAGAAUGUCCUCAAGCAGAUUGAGAAGCAGGAGUAAUGAGGCUGGAUUUCCUGCAUCACUAGAUUUUCUGAGAUGUUGAAAAUGACCUCUCCGCCACCUUCCGCCGUCGUGGAAUCUCAUUGGGAAGUCUUAUUUCUGAGACGCCAAACCCAGCCAGAAGGUCAUCCAGUUUGCAAAGGUCAUCAGGCUUGAGUACUGUAACAUCCCAGUGGGAGGGAAAGGGCUUUCCUAUGCUGGGUAACCUGCACAGGGCCCGGGGGCAAGGUCUGAGGAUGCCAAGAGGGUGUCCACUUUCACCCUGAUUCCCUCCAUGUCUGUGCUAUCUCUAAGGCAGGCCUGGGAGAGAUGGGCUAGACUCUGUUUUUGUUAAUGUGGCUACUCUGGUUCUCAGGUUACUUCAUUGGGCAUUUGGAAGUGAGUUCCAUGGCUGUUUGUUAAGGGCCUUCAGCCUCUGUGGGAAUGUCACGGUGCAGCCAGCCUGCCCAGGGGUUAAUGUGCUAUUGACGGCAUCGCCUUUUUGACUCUGCUGAUGUUGGAUCCUGUCCUCUAAGCCCGGGGACCCCUUUGGUGUCAGAUGGGCCCAUGGCAAUGACCCCAGAGCAGCCCACCCUCAGGAGUGACAGGGACCCGGGUCCUCUCCCUGUCCCAUCAUCCUUUGGGGAACUCUUUCUAACCAACAAGGGUUAGAAUCCCCCCUUUCCUCGAUUGUGCAAUAGAUAAACUAAUGACUUAAAUAAGUAAAUAAUGAAGUCAUAGACUUGUUACAAGUGAUUAUGUAACUUUUGUCAUUAAAGAGAUGAUUCACCAAGGCACUCCAAGCAUUCAUUAAUUGCCGCAUAAAUUGAUUUUUGUUUUUAAGUCAAAUGCACUGGUGAACAUUUUUGUGAGGGGAGGCAGGUGAUGUGACCCAGAG